ensembl:lncRNA
CUUGAUUUAUCUCAGGUUUGCUCUUCCUUUGUGUACUUAUUGCUCUUGAUGCAGCCUAUCAAGCCAUGCAACCCCCUAUGAUAGCUCUGUAGAGAUAUAUUUAAUUUGAUUUGCUGCUGUCCCCAGGAGUUUAUUCUCUGUCAAACAGCUGCCUGUUGCAGUGAAACUUCAAUAUAGGAGAGCAUAAUGGUUUACGGAUAGAGCAUUUAACAACCACCACUGAAUGGCAUAUGUCUGAUAAAUAUGUUCAGAAAAUAGUUGUGGAAUAUGCAAAGGCCACUGUUCUGGAACGCUUACAAGGAUACAGCUAAAAAUGCAACACAGCACAGAGUUAUCUGACAAACUUAUUCAUGAGUUUACAAACCCCUCUGAAGUUUGGAUGCUUUCGUGCUGUACAUUUUAGUCCACUACUUCUAAUCAGGUUCUUACUGUAAGGAUAAGGAAUAAGGAAGCUGAAAAAAACAGACCGUGCCCAUACUCCAUCACUGCCAGCACAGCCGCUUGGAGCUGCCCCGACGCUGAUCUACUGACGCUGGCUUUGUGCCAGAGUACAUCCCUCUGUAGGUUCAUCGUUUUGACAAGCAGGGACUCUCAUUAAGCAAGGCUGGGAAAACGGAGACUGGAGAAGCUUGGUUUGCACCAUCUGCACCAGACUUGCUGGGACUUGCUCUGUGCAGACAGUCUCUGUGCACUGGGACGGAGGGACGAAGCAGAGCAGCCCAUGCUGCCCAGUGCUUAUGUGGUCGCUCCAGCUGAGCAAUGCGGUCUCAGAACACAAUUCAUCCUCGUUCAAGUGGCACUCAGGUUCAGUUCUUCAGAACUACUAUAAACACAGAAUCACUGUGUGAGCACUUCAUCCAGCAUAGAGGAGCUUCCAUUGCAUGGACAGAUGCUGUUUGAAGGAACGCUGAGAUUCUGGAGUGAAAGCUGCUAUAUAACUUCAAAACAUGGUUGAACAAGAAGUGGAGCAGCCUAAUGAAGCAUGGAUUCAGCUACUAAAGCUGGAGACUUUAUAAAUGUAAAGAAUUUUUUAUCAGGUAUUCAAAAUCUAGGUGACCCAUCAGGCCCUUGGUAGAUUGCUCCUGAAGUGACAAUACUCCAGUGCUUCCUCCAAGUGGAUGCCCAACAAGCAGGACAACAGUACAAGCAGCAGAACCUGAGGUGUUCGUCUGCAGCACAGUGUUUACUAAGAAUACUGAUUUAUUUCUUUUUCUUCACCUUCUAUUCCAGAUGGGAAGUUUACCUAGCCAGCUUAGUUUGUCUUUGCAGGUAUUUCUCACAUUACAUUCUUUUGAUGGCUGCAGAUUGUAGUGCAAUUAUAGUUUACAUUGUAUGAAAUUACUACUAUACUUUAUAAUCUUUUCAUUUCUAUAUUUAUUCUCAUGGCUGCAAACAAUAAUAAAGACUGGCUUUCUUUUCUUGGAG